CGGACGCGUGAGUAACGCGUAGGAAUCUGCCCGGUAGUGGGGGACAACAGUCGGAAACGACUGCUAAUACCGCAUACGCCCUAAGGGGGAAAGCAGGGGAUCUUCGGACCUUGCGCUAUCGGAUGAGCCUGCGUCGGAUUAGCUUGUUGGUGGGGUAAUGGCCUACCAAGGCGACGAUCCGUAGCUGGUCUGAGAGGAUGAUCAGCCACACUGGGACUGAGACACGGCCCAG
rnacentral:rRNA from 1 species